UUUGAGGUCUAACUUAGCAAAAAUAGAAAAUAUAGAUUCAGUUGUUAGGAGAAACAGGUAUCAUCUCAAACCUUAUUUUCUAAAUAUGUAGUUUCAAAUAUAGAUCUGACAAUGAGGAAGAAGAAAAUUAUGUUCAAAAUAAUUGUAAUUCUUGAUCUUCAAGUAUUCAAAGGAUAGGAAAUUUACGUAGAAUAAUUUAUUCAACUUGAUAUGGUGGAAAAGUCAGGAAACCUAUUCAAGGAAAAAUAUUGUAAAUAUAUCGUCAGAAAAUUUUAUUUAUUUUAAUUGAAAAGGAAGAUGUAACAUAUGUUUGUAGUACCUACAUAUUGUAAAUAUGGACAGUACCAAAUGAGAAUAAUUUACUUUAUUUUCAUUGAAAACGGAGAUGUAGCAUAUGUGUUUUAUUAAGUAGUCACAGUGUUGAUCAGGAACUGAAUAUUCACUGAAUAGUCUAAUAUUCUGUGAAUAAUCGAGUAUUCAAUGAAUAGUUGAAUAAUCAAUGACUACUUUUAUUCAUGAAUAAUUAGUGAAUAGUCCAGUAUUCACUGAUUAUUCAGUGAAUUGUUUUCCAUUCAGUGAGUAGUUGGAUAAUUAUGGUAUUCGUUACUAUUCAUUAGUAUUCACUGGUGAUGAGUAAUUGAAUAUUUAAUCAUUUGUGAAGUUACGAAUGAAAGUUUGAAUGAUCACUUGAAAGAAGAAAGAAAGGAAGAAAGUUUAUUCUAAAUGUGAUAGAACAAACCCAGAAUGUACCUCCGAUGCAAUAUUAUCCACAUCCUUCACUGGUAGCACCAAAAAGGAAUCACAGAGGCGAAGUGCUUUAUGCACACUAUUCCACUAACGGACAAUACCUGUCGACAUUUAGUUAUGAAGAACCAGGUUCGAGAAAGAACUUCAAUUCAACGGAAACAUUCUCGGGCCCUUAUGGAAAUCGUUUCACAGAGGAUCAACUUUAUACAUUGUUGGUUGAUUUCAUUAUCCCACCAGGACAUCUUUUCAUCAAUGGUUUUAAAUGAAGCAACCAACAAUGUACGAAUUUUUAAGCAAUGCUUCUCAAACUUUCUCGUGGUGUAUUCGGAAGAGAAAAAAUGUAAUUCAUAUAAAGACUCAUCACAAUACUCGAAAGAAAUCAAUGCUAAUGAAAGAAUCUGUGUAAGAUGUAAAUCUGGAUUUUUCAUCACCAAUGAUGAAAUUUUAGCAAAGAUCCUUGCUACUUCCAUUGGGGUAAACUAUUGAUCCACAGUUUCAGUUGCUGUAACCAGUCGCCUGGUUCGAUUGGAGCCUUUAGAAGGCUUUGUGAAAACAAAAUCCUCUGGGCUAGGGAAGAAACAAAAUGUUUAUGCUUUGGACUGUGAGAUGUG